rnacentral:lncRNA from 1 species
CCUACUCACAUUAAAACAAUUUCAAAUUAUGGCUGUUAAGUCAUUGGAAAUUUUAGCUGCCUUUAAAUUAAUCUUUGUAUUAUCAUAAAUGAUGGCCUGAUAAUGCGAAUUACCGAGAAUAAAGCGAGAUUUGAAUGUAUUUAUGAAGAAAUAUGUAAUUUAGUUUAAAAGCAGUAUCAAUUUGGUAUGAUAAGAAAUACUGCCAGUCACUUUCCUCAAAAACGAAAUUUGAAUGCUAUUUUUUUAAUAUUAAGAACUCCUUACGUCCUAAAUGAUACAUGCGUGUGACUUUUUUUUCUAUUGAAUUAUUAUCGAUGAUAACUAUCUUAUCGCAAUGAACGCUAGCUUCGCUUUAGCAAGCAAGUGGGCUACAUAAUAAGUCGACUGCUUAAAUAAAAAACAUUUCGGAGGACGUGGUGGCUUAGCACUUGGAUAUAUUUAAAUAAAAGCAGCAAACAUGGGUUUAUGCUGCAGCUGUUGUGGCGAUGACGGUGGUGGUGUGACAGUAGUGGACCAGGCAUUCAACAAUGAUGGGGGCUUCCCCCCACCACCUGACGGCGGGGCAGUCACCGAGGGGCCCAACUUCCAAAUGAGAUGAUCACAGCCUCAAACACGCGUGUGUUUGAGGCGAAAAACUACUCCGCAGCGCUAGUGAUGUAACUAAUAUUAUUUAAGAAAACUUCUUGUCUUAUUAAAAUUAUGAAACUAAAAUUGCA